UACGGAGGGUGCAAGCGUUAAUCGGAAUUACUGGGCGGAAAGCGUGCGCAGGCGGUUUGUUAAGUCUGCUGUGAAAUCCCCGAGCUCAACUUGGGAAUUGCAGUGGAUACUGGCAAGCUGGAGUACGGUAGAGGAAGGUGGAAUUCCCGGUGUAGCAGUGAAAUGCGUAGAGAUCGGGAGGAACACCAGUGGCGAAGGCGGCCUUCUGGACCAGUACUGACGCUCAUGCACGAAAGCGUGGGGAGCAAACAGG
rnacentral:rRNA from 1 species